UUCCUUGUAGCGCAGUGGAUAGCGCGUUGGACUUCCAAUCCAAAAGUUUUAGAUUCGAACCUCCCAUGGAAU